rnacentral:hammerhead_ribozyme from 1 species
AUCCAGCUGACGGGUCGCAAACAUGACGAAACGCAUAUCCUGGAU